UACGGGGGGGGCAAGCGUUGUUCGGAAUUACUGGGCGUAAAGGGCUCGUAGGCGGCCAACUAAGUCAGACGUGAAAUCCCUCGGCUUAACCGGGGAACUGCGUCUGAUACUGGAUGGCUUGAGGUUGGGAGAGGGAUGCGGAAUUCCAGGUGUAGCGGUGAAAUGCGUAGAUAUUGGGAGGAACACCAGUGGCGAAGGCGGCUCACUGGACCGGAACUGACGCUGAUGCGCGAAAGCGUGGGGAGCAAACGGG
rnacentral:rRNA from 1 species